GUGUUGCUGUUGAGCAGAAAUUGGAAGGAAACUGUGAGGGUCAAUAGAUUGAGAAAAUGGUCCUGCCCAUCAUCAUAGGAAACCAUGAACCUCUCCACUCUGGGACAGGAGUGACCUGCAGUGACCAGCUCUGCUGCCUUAGGAGCAUUAGCUGUACUCCUCAAAUAAGUUUCCCUGAUGACAUGCAAAUCAGAAUCUGUUAACCAUUGGCUGUUCCAGAUAUGAUGUCAAAGCCAACAAGGGAGACUUGUAGUAUGACUCAAAAGCAGAAGUAUUUUGAAACAGAAAGAAUGACUUACUGGGGAGCCAGGUUAAAAACUAAAGAAGUGAAGAUUGGUCAUCUCUGCAGAGGAAAUUACAAGGUCUUUCUCAGAAGAAACAGCUGUAGAAUGUGGAUGAAUGAAUCAGUUGUGUGGAAUUCCUGUUGGCAAGACCUUAGACCCUCGACUGCUGCUAGAUCCAGCUGAGGGAUCAAAGAGAGAACUUUUGCAGGUAUUUCAUGUCUUCACCUGUACUAUUCUCACCUUAAUGAGUAGCAAAUUAUUCUG
rnacentral:lncRNA from 1 species